AGUGAACGCUGGCGGUAGGCCUAACACAUGCAAGUCGAACGGCAGCACAGUAAGAGCUUGCUCUUACGGGUGGCGAGUGGCGGACGGGUGAGGAAUACAUCGGAAUCUACUUUUUCGUGGGGGAUAACGUAGGGAAACUUACGCUAAUACCGCAUACGACCUACGGGUGAAAGCAGGGGAUCUUCGGACCUUGCGCGAUUGAAUGAGCCGAUGUCGGAUUAGCUAGUUGGCGGGGUAAAGGCCCACCAAGGCGACGAUCCGUAGCUGGUCUGAGAGGAUGAUCAGCCACACUGGAACUGAGACACGGUCCAGACUCCUACGGGAGGCAGCAGUAGGGAAUAUUGGACAAUGGGCGCAAGCCUGAUCCAGCCAUACUGCGUGGGUGAAGAAGGCCUUCGGGUUGUAAAGCCCUUUUGUUAGGAAAGAAAAGCAGCAGGUUAAUACCCCGCUGUUCUGACGGUACCCAAAGAAUAAGCACCGGCUAACUUCGUG
rnacentral:rRNA from 1 species